UGGGGUAUAGCUCAGAGGUAGAGCACUUGCCUAGCAUGCAUAAGGCCCUGGGCUCAAUCCCCAGUACUCUAA
rnacentral:tRNA from 1 species